AACGAACGCUGGCGGCAUGCCUAACACAUGCAAGUCGAACGAGACCUUCGGGUCUAGUGGCGCACGGGUGCGUAACGCGUGGGAACCUGCCCUUAGGUUCGGAAUAACUCCCCGAAAGGGGUGCUAAUACCGGAUAAUGUCUUCGGACCAAAGAUUUAUCGCCUUUGGAUGGGCCCGCGUUGGAUUAGCUAGUUGGUAGGGUAAAAGCUUACCAAGGCGACGAUCCAUAGCUGUUCUGAGAGGAUGAUCAGCCACACUGGGACUGAGACACGGCCCAGACUCAUACGGGAGGCAGCAGUGGGGAAUAUUGGACAAGGGGCGAAAGCCUGAUCCAGCAAUGCCGAGUGAGUGAUGAAGGAAUUAGGGUUGUAAAGCUCUUUUACCCGGGAUGAUAAUGACAGUAACGGGAGAAUAAGCUCCGGCUAACUCCGUG
rnacentral:rRNA from 1 species